rnacentral:rRNA from 1 species
CCUACGGGACGCACCAGUGGGGAAUAUUGCACAAUGGGCGCAAGCCUGAUGCAGCCAUGCCGCGUGUAUGAAGAAGGCCUUCGGGUUGUAAAGUACUUUCAGCGGGGAGGAAGGUGCUGAGGUUAAUAACCUCAGCAAUUGACGUUACCCGCAGAAGAAGCACCGGCUAACUCCGUGCCAGCAGCCGCGGUAAUACGGAGGGUGCAAGCGUUAAUCGGAAUUACUGGGCGUAAAGCGCACGCAGGCGGUCUGUCAAGUCGGAUGUGAAUUCCCCGGGCUCAACCUGGGAACUGCAUUCGAAACAGGCAGGCUAGAGUCUUGUAGAGGGGGGUAGAAUUCCAGAUGUAGCGGUGAAAUGCGUAGAGAUCUGGAGGAAUACCGGCGGCGAAGGCGGCCCCCUGGACAAAGACUGACGCUCAGGUGCGAAAGCGUGGGGAGCAAACAGGAUUAGAUACCCUCGUAGUC